rnacentral:lncRNA from 1 species
GUAAACACUUCGCCACUGCAGGGGUGGAGACUGGCUCUGUUCGGAUGCCGGCCGGGGGGGAGAGGUGCAAUCCUCUCCUCGCGGCUGGUGGUUGCGACCACCCCCACUCCCCAAAGGCAGGCUCCGGAGGCGGCGGGACAGAGCGCCUGCGACCCCAGUCGGUGCUCCGGGGAGGUCACCUGACGAGGAGGACUGGGAGGUGCUGGUCCUAGGGAAGCUCAAGUGGGACCUGGCUGCUGUGAUUGCACAUGAUUUCCUGGCCUUCAUUCUGCACCGGCUCUCUCUGCCCCGUGACCGACAGGCCUUGGUCAAAAAGCAUGCCCAGACCUUUUUGGCCCUCUGUGCUACAGGUAAGAGCCCUAUGCACAUUUUUGCCAAAUUGGAAAAAUCAGAAGACUUAUAAGGGUGAGAGGUAACUGAAGAUUCUGGUUUAUACUGUCAAAAUUCCUUUGUGAAAAUUAUACCCCCUCUGAGCCCCCAGUCUCAAUGCAGAAAAGCAGGUUAUAAUCAGCUAUAUGGGAUCUCAGACCCCUCCAGUUUGUAGUGGGGACACUGAGGGUAUAGAGAGAAGUGACUUGC